rnacentral:snRNA from 1 species
AGGCUUUGGCAGCACAUUUAUUAAAGUGGAACUAUAUAGAGGAGACUGGCAUGGGCCAGCAUAAAGAUGCCACAAAACUUCACAAAGCAUUUUAUGUAUGU